AACGAACGCUGGCGGCAUGCCUAACACAUGCAAGUCGAACGAGACCUUCGGGUCUAGUGGCGCACGGGUGCGUAACGCGUGGGAACCUGCCCUUAGGUUCGGAAUAACUCCCCGAAAGGGGUGCUAAUACCGGAUAAUGUCUUCGGACCAAAGAUUUAUCGCCUUUGGAUGGGCCCGCGUUGGAUUAGCUAGUUGGUAGGGUAAAAGCCUACCAAGGCGACGAUCCAUAGCUGGUCUGAGAGGAUGAUCAGCCACACUGGGACUGAGACACGGCCCAGACUACUGCGGGAGGCAGCAGUGGGGGAUAGUGGAGAAGGGGCGGAAGACUGAUCCAGCCAUGCAGCGUGAAUGAGGAAGGCGUUAGGGUGGGAAAGCUCUCGGACCAGGUAUGAGAAAGAGAGAGCAGGGAGAAUAAGAGCCGGCAAGCUCAGGG
rnacentral:rRNA from 1 species